AUUACAGACAGCAGGAAUCACGAGAACUCACAAGAACCCGAGGAUUCACGUUCAAUCGUGCGAUAACGAGUUGUCUCUCUAAAGACAGACACAUAGACAUAUAAGCAGUAGAUUGUGUCCUUCCAGAGGAGGAAAUCUACUUCUAGACUUCUAGAAUCAGCAUCUCCUCAUCCAUGGUGUCAUCGGGGUGAAAUGACGUCUAAAAACCUUUCACUUGUUUGUCUCCGUCCGAACAAAUGAAAGGUUGUGUUUUAUUUUGAAAAGAAGCCGGAUGUUUUAUUUUGUGUCUGUGCCCGACUUCCUU
rnacentral:lncRNA from 1 species